AGUGAACGCUGGCGGCAGGCCUAACACAUGCAAGUCGAGCGGCAGCAGGUUCCCGCGAGGGGAUGCCGGCGAGCGGCGGACGGGUGAGGAACACAUCGGAAUCUGCCUGGUUGUGGGGGAUAACGUAGGGAAACUUACGCUAAUACCGCAUGCGACCCUGAGUCGACGGACUGGGGGUGAAAGUGAGGGACCUUCGGGCCUCACGCGACCAGAUGAGCCGAUGUCGGANAGCUAGUUGGCGGGGUAACGGCCCGCCAAGGCGACGAUCCGUAGCUGGUCUGAGAGGAUGAUCAGCCACACUGGGACUGAGACACGGCCCAGACUCCUACGGGAGGCAGCAGUGGGGAAUCUUGGACAAUGGGCGCAAGCCUGAUCCAGCCAUG
rnacentral:rRNA from 1 species